AAUAAAUCUAAGUUUUUAUUAUUUUUUUAUAUAUGUAAUUUUAUUUUCUUUAAAGUUAACAGUCAAUAACCUAAUCCCUGUUACUAUAUGCAUGUAACUAUAUUAUAUAUCAUAAUAUGAUAUAUAUGACAAUAUGAUAUAUAUGAUAUAUAUGAAUCGAUUCAUAUAUAAUAUAGUAACAUAAAUAUAUAAUAUAGUAACAAGAUAUAACAGUAAAAAAAAUUAUAUGUGUACUACUUAUAAUAAUCUAAAGUACUUUGAGUUACAGGAAAGUUCGAGUUAUCUGAGGUUUGAGAUAUUGGGAGUUUACUGUAUUCUUAUGAUUAUUAUUUUUACAUUCCAUCUACAUAGAAUUUUGAAUUAUAUGCUGAAAGUUGCACUUUUUUAUAUAUAUAUUUUUUAAAUUUUAAUUUAUUAUACUUUUGCAAUAUUCAAUAAAAAUACGUAUGAUAAAGCUUUAUUAAUAUAUCAAUGAUUUAACAUUUAGUGCACAAACAAAUUAAAUAAUACAUUUAUUAAUGUUAGAAUAUGAUUGUUUUGUAUUUUAAUGGUGAAAAAAUCAAAAUUUUACAUAAUAUUUUUAGUAGAAAAUUUUAUAAGGAUUUCUUGAAAAAAUAAUGACAAAAUUGAUAGUUUUUCGUAACUUCAAAUGUUAUAACUUUUCCAAUUCUUAUCAAAAUGUAUACAAUUUGGUAUAAAAACAAAGAUAUGAAAAAGAAAAGGCACCUACAACACCCAGUAAUAUGUUACGAAUGUAUAUUUGAAAGCGUCGAUUGUUAAGUCUGUUUGUCAGGCGUCAAGUCAGGUUAUCUUGCUACUGGUACCAUGUAGUACAUCCUGCUUAAGCAAGUUGUAUGCCAUCCAUACGACGUUUGGGCAUCUGUUUGUAAAAUAUUGCUGCAAAUCUUUUUGAGAGAGCCAUUACUAUCGAGAACCAUCUAAACCAUACAAGUGUGGAAACAUGGAUGUAAAUCUUAAACACAUCUGUGAUAUAUAGUUGUAGAAUGUUAUAUUUUAUAAGUUUGGAAAUUAUAUUUUGCUAAAAAAACUUUUUAAAUGUAUUUUAGCAGAACAUACCUGGCCCGCAUUUGAUACUGAAAAACGUUCUUCUUGGACCAAAUGCUGGCUGGGUAAUUUGGACUUGUAAAUGAACUUAUAUUCAUAAUUUUUAAACUGCUUAUGAUCUGAUCUGAUUUUAUUUUUGUCAUUUGUUUAUUUAGAUUAAUGUGAAAUAAACUGAUGAGUUUAACUUAGCUGGUAAAAAAAAGAGUUUUUGUGAAACAAAUUUAUUGAAGACAAUUAUAGAAUGAAGUUCAUUUAUUUGCUGGCAGCAUUUUUAAACGUGGUCCAGAUCGAAAAAAUUUGGUGCUAGAUUUUGUCGAUAGUGGAAGUGAUAGAUGUAUCGAACCUAAUUUGUAAUUAAUUUCUGUAAAUAAAUUUCACUUUACUAAUUUUUGUGUUG